GUGAUUUUCCCACUCCAAUUUUAUCCACUUACACUCCAUUUUAUAACUAAAAAAAUGAGUGUAAGUGGAUAAAAUUGGAGUGGGGAAAUCAU
rnacentral:miRNA from 1 species